GAUACGAAAGCAGCUGACUUUCUUACCCGCGAUUUAAAGGCCACUGGUACCGUAGGCUCAGUACAGAAAUCUUGUGACUUAAGCAAUGGGUGCAGUUGCGUUGGUCAAGGAUGGGUUCAGAUUCUAGUUCGAAGACGAAUUAGAGAUACUUCGUGGAUUUUGAGACUACAAAGUCGGCCGAAACUCGAUGAAACACAAACUUUACUACCAGCGGUGGGAAAGACAGGGAUUUAUGAAAGUUUAAUUCCAUAACAAUCCUUUUGUAAGCCCAUUUAUUUUCUCAAACCUUCCCAACCUUCAAUUGUGCCACGCGUCACUAGAGUUGUCGAUGGGGAAAACUUUGUUGAAGUUUGCAAGUCAAAAGGCAAGUCGAUUCUAUCGCUACAAAAAUUUUUAGAGUUUGCAUUUUUAUUCUAAAAUCCAUUUUACUUCACAUAUUUCUUUAGUUGUUCAGUUAUAUUGGCAAGCAAUUGCUUUUGACUUUCAGGUGCGAUUUAUUACUAUAUCGAGAAUGGCUUGAUUGGCGAAGGUGGAUUUGGUGGAGUAUUCAAGGGUGAUGCCAUAAAAAGAACUAGAAAAACAUCGAUAAUUCUCACACAAUGUCUCUGCUUCGAAAAACAAGCAUUUUUCUUGGCAUUAUUGGCCAUAUUGCCAUGCUUCUGAGAUGAAUUAAGAUUCCCAAAUCAUACUAGGUUGCCAGCCCUUACGUUGAUUUUUCAGAAAAACCAUCCUGUUUUUCAUUUACCAAGAGAUCGAUCUUUCAAUUUUUACAUUUGAGACAAAGGGAUUCAGAUUAGAACAGAAUUUUGCAACAUUGCAUGGGGAAAGACAUGAGGAGAUUCAAUAAAUAAAUGAGAGACCAUGGUAACUGAGCAAGUCUGAUAAUUAGGAAGUUUUAGAUCAAAGAGGACAUUAUAUUAUAAUAAUGAUUAGCCUAAAUCUAGUUUUUCCAUGAAUACAUACCAUAUUUUAUGUGGUAUUAUCGGUAAAAGAUACAUGUAUUAAUAUAGUGUCACGACAACCAACCGUACAACGAGAGAAAGGCGAAAUUUUAAUUAAAAUUUCAAACAUCG